GAGAGAGAGAGAGAGAGAGAGAGAUUACCUCUCUUGUAGCAAUCUGCUUUGUAGAGUUCUAGAAAAAAAUGGUAUCUGUUUUUUCUUUUAAAUAUUUAAAUUUCCAUUAUUAUUAUAACAAAAUCAAUCUUUCAGAGUAAUGAUUCUCAUUAUGGAGUAAUUUGAUGAUUAAGACCAGUUGGCAUAGGAAAAAAUUGUGAUUUAGAAAUUAUGUGAUAAUUAUGAAUUGGUCUUAAGCUACAGUGUUCAUUGAUCACUUUUUAAAACUAUGAAUGGAUUCUAUUACUUUUUAUAUGACCAGAUUACAUUAAUACUAGCAUAAUUAUGAUUUCAAAUUUUUACAAAUCAGACUUAAUUCUGAAUUCAGUUAUUAGUUUUGAUAUUGCUGAAAUAUUUUAAACUUCAUCCUCUUUUUUAACAUAUUCAAAAAUACUCUUUGAAUCGCUGACUCAAAAUGAAAGGCAACAAACAUAAUAAUUAGGUUAUAAUUGUUUUAAAAGUGUAUUCUUUUCCUCUGUUUUAGGAACAAGCACAAUAUAAAAAACAAUUAGAGCAGUUAAACAAGGAUAUAAUACAGCUUCACUAAAUAAGAAGGAACUCACACUUAAAGAUGUGGAAUGUAAAUUCUACAAAAUGAAAACUGCUUAUGAAGAGGUUACAACUGAGUUAGAAGAAUAUAAGGAAGCCUUUGCAGCAGCAUUGAAAGCUAACAGUUCCAUGUCAAAAAAAUUAACUAAAUUGAAUAAGAAAAUAGCAAUGAUCAGUAUCAGCUCUUUAUGGAGAAAGAGCAGGUGAAAUAUUUUCUCAGCACUCUUCCUACAAGGCGAGGUCGAGAGUCACCUUGUGUUGAAAAUCUUACUAGUAUAGGACUCAACAGAAAAUAUAUUCCCCAAAUGCCCGUAAGAAUUCCUACUUCAAACCUCAGACUUCAAAUAACUGCCAGAACUACUUGACUGAGCUGUUGCUGUAUUGGACACUUGCUCCCAUCUACUUUCUUCUCUAGAAUCCACGGGUAAGCCACAUCUAAUGAAGAGAAUAUUUAACCAUAAAGUCUUAAGGAAAAAUUCUAUGAUGAUUUAAAAGAUUAUAAAACUUUAUUACUGGGCUAUUUACACAUUUUAAUUGUUUCUCAUAAAAUAUAUAACAUUCCAAUAUUUACUGAAGUAGGAUAUUUUUGUAUCAUAUGUAUGAUUAUAAUUUAUAGGGUAUUUUAAAUGAUGUUUUUUGGCCUCCUUAAGUUUUAAGUGGAUCUUGCAAAUGAAAACCAGUAUUAUUGAGUUUGACAUACUCAAAUUGCCCAAAUGUCAGCUGUUUAAACAACCAAGUCAUCACUGAUACUUUAGUAAAGGUUAGUAAAGGUCAUCGAAGGCUUAUUUGCAUUUUACAGUUUUUAUUACUUAGGAGAGUUAAGGAGUACCUGCCAGGUUUGUCCAUGCUAAUGUUACAAUUUUCUUUUUGUAGUUCAACUGUAUUUUGUAUGGAGAUACUUUGAGGCUCUGUAAAUAUCUGGUUACUCCUCAGAACCCACUAGAUUUAGCAUUUCAUGGAUGACUUGUGUUUGAACAAUUAUUACUAUGAUGGUUACCAGAUGAUUAUUUUCUUAUUCUCUUCUUUGUUCUACAUGGAGAAAUAAAACCAAUAAAUAAGGGAGAAGGAAAGCUCAUGAUUCUGAUGCUCCAAUUCCCCAAGAUUAGGCCAGUAGUAGACAUUCCAAGCUGACUUUAUGUCUCUUUGAUUUGUCUCCAUUACUCUGUCGGCACUUUUUUACUUUCUGGCAGAAGAUGUUCUAAGCUCAGCUUGUAUUUUCUCUGCGCCAGCUCUGGAAUGAGUCAUUUUUUUUAGAAGCAGAGGUGGAGCCACUGAGGAAGCACAGACUCCCAUGGUGGUGGGUUGUGUCACCCCACAAUGUCACUGUUGCUGAGUCCCCAUCGCCUCUGUGUUGUGGAGCAGUUAGAGACACACAGCAGUGUCUGUGAGUAGCUCUGCGUGAAGGACCAUUUUCUAGAUGAGAGGCACAUCUCAACACAGCUCACUGAUCAGAUUCAGGUGAGUGGGACCUGCUCUUUUCUCUUCCUUCUGGCUUGGGAAAAGUCACUAUCAGGUGGAUGGUUUUGGUCUCUGGGCAGCUACUGAGGGUAAUCCCUGAACACUCACCAGCUGCCUGUUAUGUGCUGACAGUCAUCUCAUUCAUCCUCGCAGCAAUUCCAUUCUGCAUCUUUUCUGAUCACCUCCGUGACCACACAGGACAACCCCAUCAGGGCCCUGUCACCAGGCCCAGUCUAGCUCCAUGAUAACCAAGACACAGGCCCAGAGACAAUCGUCCUACAUUGUGCCUGCAUCUGACACCCCUUGGAAUACAGAACACUGCUGCUGGAGUCUGAAUGUUUGUCACUCACAUAGAAUUCCAGAACACUGCUGCGAGGAUCUGAAUGUUUGACCCUCAAAUGGGAUUCCAGAACACUGCUGCGAGGGUCUAAAUGUCUGUCCCUCACAUAGGUUUCCAGCACAAUGUUACGAGGUUCUGAAUGUUUGUCCCUAACAUAGGAUUCCAGAGCACUCCUGCUGUGCUCUGAAUGCUUCUCCCUCACAUAGGAUUCCAGAACACUGCUAUGAGGGUCUGAAUGCUUAUACCUCCUAUAGGAUUCCAGAACACUCCUGCUGUGCUCUGAAUGUUUGUUCCUCACAUAGGAUUCCAGAACACUCCUGCCGUGGUCUGAAUGUUUGUCCCUCACAUAGGAUUCCAGAACAUUCAUGCUGGGGUCUCAAUGUUUCCCUUAACAUAGGAUUUCAGAACACUGCUCUUGGGGUCUGAAUGUUUGUCCCUCACAUAGGAUUACAGAACACUGCUGCUGGAGUCUGAAUGUUUGUCAGUCACAUAGAAUUCCAGAACACUGCUAUGAGGGUGUGAAUAUUUUUCCCUCACCUAGUAUUCCAGAACACUGUUGCAAGGGUCUGCAUGUUGGUCCGUCAUAUAGGAUUCCAGAACACUGCUGCUGUGGUCUGAAUGUUUGUCCCUCACAUAAAAUUCUGGAACACUGCUACAAGGGUCUGAAUGUUUGUCCUUCACAUACCAUUCCAGAACACUGCUGCCGUGGUCUGAAUGUAUGUCCCUCACAUAGGAUUCCAGAACACUGCUACUAGGUUCUGAAUGUUUUUCCCACACCUAGGAUUCCAGAACACUUCUGCUGGUGUCUGAAUGGUUGUCCCUCACAUAUGAUUCCAGGACACUGCUAUGAGAGUCUUAAUGUUUGUCCUUCACAUAGAAUUCCAGAACACUGCUCCCGUGGUCUGAAUGUUUGUCCCUCACAUAGCAUUGCAGAACACUGCUACAAGGGUUUGAAAGUUUGUCCCUCACAUAGGAUUCCACAACACUACUGCUGGGGUCUGAAUGUUUGGCCCUCACAUAGGAUUCUAGAACACUCCAGCUGGCUUCUGAGUGUUUGUCCCUCACAUAGGAUUCCUGAAGACUGCUGCUGUCGCUAUAGUCGUUGAGAGUGUCUGAAUGUUUGACCUUCACCAAACACCAAAUAUCCUGGCCCUUUAGUCUUGUACUUUCCAGCCUCCAGGUCUGUGAACAAUAAUCUCUGUUGUUUAUGAAUUACUCAGUCUGAAGUAUUUUGUUAUAGUAGCCUAAAGAGACUAAGAGAGCAUCACCUGCCCUGUCACCUCAUCACCGCAUUACUGAAGCUAUACUAACAGCAGUCACUUUUAGUGGGUACUUCAUGCAUCAGAAUAAAGGGAAAAAAUUGCAAGGCAUACUAAAAUCCAAAAAAAGAAAAAAAUACAAUUUGUAUCAACAGAGCAAGCUUCAGAAGCAGACAAAGAUAUGAUCUUGGAAUUUUUUUUUAAACCUCUGGAGAAUAUGCUAAGGGCCUAAUGAAUGAAGUAGACAGUAUUCAAGUGUAGACGGGUAAUGUAAUGAGAAAGACAGACAUCGUAAGAACUUUCAACAUAAUGUAGUGAUGAAAAACGUGGUAAAUAACUGAAGAAUACCUCUGAUGGCUUAUUAGUAGACUGGACUCAGCUGAGUAAAAAUCUCUGAGCUUGAGGAUUUAUCAUCAGAAACUUCAAAAACUAAAGAAAAGAAACACUGAAAAGAACAGAAGAUGAUAUUCAAGACUGUGGGACAACUACAAAAGGUGAAACAGUAAUGAGAAUACCAAGAGGAGAAGAAAUAGAAGAAAGUUCUGCAACAACCAUGUCUGAGAACUUCCAGUAUUAAUGUCAGACACCAAACCAAAGAUCCAGGAAGCUCUGAGAACACCAGGCAGAAUAAAUACCAACAACCUACACUUGGACAUAUAAUUUUCAAACUAUAUGAAAUAAAAGAUAAAGGAAAACUCUGAAAGAAACCAGAGGUGGGGCAGAAAACACCUUACCUACAGAGACACAAAGAUAAGAACUGCAUUCAACAUUUCAGAAACUGUGAAAGUAAGAAGACAGUGAAAUGAAAAAUUCAAAAUGUUGACAGAAAAAACCCACCAACCUAAGUUUCUGUACCCACUGAAACCACCCUUCAAAAGUGAAGGAGAAUUAAGGCCUUCCUCAGAAAAAUAAAAAUUCAAGAAACUUGUUGCCAGGAGACCUGUCUUGCAAGAAAUGUUAAAUGAAAUUCUUUAGGGAAACAAAAGAUAUAUAACUGAAACCUGGAUCAACAUUUUUUUAAAAAGAGCAUUAAAGAAAGAAUUGUGGUACAAUAAAAACCUAUGUAUUUAUUCUUAAUUGAUCUGACCAAGAAGAUCAUAGACAAUAACAAAUACAGAUAUAUUAUGUAUGCUUAUAUACAAUUGAAAUGAGUAACACUAAUACAAGGAAUGGAAUGGAAGGAUGGUAGGGAGGCAUUGUGGUACAAUAAAAACAUGUAUUUAUUCAUAAUUGAUCUGACCAAUAAGUUUGUAGAUAAUAAUAAAUACACACAGAUAGAUUAUGCAUGCUUAUACACAAGUGAAAUAAGGAACAAUAAUACAAGGAAUGGAAUGGAAGGAUGGGAGGGAGGAAUCAGGUGUUUUCUUUGUUAAGCAGGUAGUCACCCGUGAAGUGGGAUAGUGUUAUCUGAAAGUGGACUUGAAUUGGUUGUAAAUGUAUAUUGAGGAAUUAGGUGUGUUCUUUGUUAAGCAGGUAGUCUUAUUUGUGGGAUAGUGGGAUAGUGUUAUGUGAAAGUGGACUUGAAUUGGUUGUAAAUGUUACUGAGGAAUUAGGUGUUUUGUUUGUUAAGCAGGUAGUCUUAUUUGUGGGAUAGUUGGAUAGUGUUAUUUGAAAGUGGACUUGAAUUGGUUGUAAAUGUAUAUUGCAAAUUCUGUGACAACUAGUUAAAAAAAAGUUUUAAAAAGAGAAGUACGUACUAAGAAAGACAGGGAAAAUGGAGUCAUCUAAAAUCAUCAAUGAAAACUGCAAAAGGCAGAAAAAGAGUCGUAGACAAAA